UGCAGCCUAUCGACGGUACCACCACAUU
rnacentral:piRNA from 1 species